GACGAACGCUGGCGGCGUGCCUAAUACAUGCAAGUUGAGCGCUGAAGAUUGGUACUUGUACCGAUUGGAUGAGCAGCGAACGGGUGAGUAACGCGUGGGGAAUCUGCCUUUGAGCGGGGGACAACAUUUGGGAACGAAUGCUAAUACCGCAUAAUAGCUUUAAACAUAAGUUUUAAGUUUGAAAGAUGCAAUUGCAUCACUCAAAGAUGAUCCCGCGUUGUAUUAGGUAGUUGGUGAGGUAAAGACUCACCAAGGCGAGGAUACAUAGCCGACCUGAUAGGGUGAUCAGCACCAUUGGGACUGAGACACAGCCCAAACUCCUACGGGAGGCAGCAGUAGGGACUCUUCGGCAAUGGACGAAAGUCUGACCGAGCAACGCCGCGUGAGUGAAGAAGGUUUUCGGAUCGUAAAACUCUGUUGUUAGAGAAGAACGACGAGGAGAGUGGAAAGCUCCUCGUGUGACGGUAUCUAACCAGAAAGGGACGGCUAACUACGUGCCAGCCGCCGCCGUAA
rnacentral:rRNA from 1 species